UGGUUAGGUCAUGAGGGUAGAGCCUUCAGGAAUGGGAUUUGUGCUUUUACAAAAGAUACCCCACAGAGCUCCCUAGCCCCUUCAGCCAUGCAAGGACACAAAGAGAGGUCUGCAAGAGGAUGAGGACCUUCAACUGACCAGGCUGGCACCCUGAUCUCAGGAGUUCCAUUCUCCAUAACUAAGAUACUGGUGGACACAAUGCUGAGCAAAAGAAAAUGCAACCAAUCCCUGUUGUCAGUCAAGGAGAGGAGACAGAUGUUAAUUAACUAAACCCAAGAAUCAAAUAAGCUGAGCUAUUGUAAGCAGGUGAAGCUGAUAAAGGACCAUGAAUUUGAGUGACACCCACUCCCCACCACCCCAGGACAUAAGACCCUUACUGGAUCUAACUGAAGACUCUUUUCUGAUUAAUGAUGAACAAAGAAUGGGUCUACUUGUUUUAACCAAUUAUGUAAAGACCUAUUGACUCAUUUUAUCCAAUCCACAGUGCUAGCUUUUGAUGCCUAAUUAGUAGGAACACUGUGUGUUCUUUCUGGUACUUUUGAGUGCCUGGCCCCAGCCAGGAUUUCUUGUUUCCUUGCCCGGCAAGAAAAUAUUUGGUUUUUAA